rnacentral:lncRNA from 1 species
AUUGCUGAGGCUGGCUUUGAACUUGCCAUCCUCCUUCCUUAGCCUUUCAAAUCACUGGGAUUACAGGCAUGGGCCACUGCACCUGGCUUGCUCAUUUUAAAAUUUUAACUCCCCCAAAUAGUGCUUUCUGGUGACUAUUCUGGCAGCCACAGCAAAGCAGUAUUCUGAUAUUUAUAUUCAUGUUCCACAAGCAAGAGAACACAAACCUACAUUACCAACAUUUCAGUAACUUAAUAAAUGAACUAAUAUUUGGUCCUCACAAAAACUCAGGGUCCAGAUCUCUGAAGAAAUAGUCAACAUAAAUGUAAGGUAUUUAAACACAGUGCAUAUAUUUGUAUAAUGUAGCUUGCAAGUACUUUUAAGUGCCUUAUAUAUAAUUUCAUCUUACUUUGUCCUUGUAACCAAGUAGUACCCACUUGGCCCUUUUAAAGAAAAAAACCGUAGGGAAAUAUGAGGAAUAUAGUGUUUUACCUACCAACAACCCAUUGCAUGACUAGAUGAGACAAUACUUUUAUGCUUUUUAAAAACUUUCCUAAGUGAUAUCAUAAAGAUCCAUAGUACAGAUGGAUCAAAAAAGUUUUCCAUAGCUUUCUAAAAAGUCUUCUGUGUUACAAACAUUAAUAAAUCAAUACAUAAAAUUUUGUUUAACCAUUCACUAGAUCAUCAGGCUGUGCUGCAAGAUAGAAUAGAAAGUGAGGUGAUAGAUACGGUAAUGAGCCCGACUUGGUCUUUCCACAAUGUAUAUGUGUAUUGAAAUAUCACAUUGAACACCAUAAAUAUGUACAGUUAUGGUUUGGCAAUUUAAAAGAAAAAAUAUUUUGAUCAUGGCCAGGUUAAGAAGCAGUUAAGUACCACCCUGCAGAGAGCAGUGAGUGACUCAAGGCCGCUUGGAACCAGCUGCUGAGUGAAGUGGCACCCUGGCACAGCGCUUACUACUGACAGCAAGAGAGGAGGGCGUGUGCAGGACACCUGGGGCUGGCAAGGACCUGUCGUGUCUCUCGUGACCAGCAGCUGCACGAUCAGCCCCAAUGCACUCUGCGGAAAAUGAAGGUGUGUGCCUUUUCAUUGUUCCUGGAGUAAUCAUUUUUCUUUUUAAAUUUCAAAAAGAAAAUGUGGUGAAACCAGACAGGAAUCAGAGUCAACCUGCAGAGCAAAUAUUAGCACCAUCUACGAGUGUGAAGUUUGACUGUGAGAGAAAAUUGUGUAAAUUGGCUAGAGAGGGCUUCAGUUGGCUCCAUGUGAAUCUGAUUCCUGACAUUUACGAAAUCACCCAGAUUGCUACCAUAAUUCUUCAGAGAAAAGAUUCUGUAAAUGUUAAGAUUUAAUAUAAUUCUUACCUUAAAAUAGAAGUGGUGAAGAGUUUGAAAAGAAAAUCUCAGGUCGAUUCAUUUUUUUAAGUUUUAUGUCAUCAGAAAUACUUAAGCAGCUGUUUUGGAAGUGUAUUUUUUUUUUUUUUAAGAGAAGGAUUCAUAAAAUUACAGUAAAAAAAAAGAUUACAGUAACAUCAUUGUCACAAAGGAAAAAAAUCUGGUAAAUUGUAUACUAAACAACUUUGUUUUUAAGAUUACUUAUACAUCAAAUAAUUUAUUAAAAUGGAAAACAUUGAUAUUUAUUUUACUAAGAAAAAUUCUGACUAAAUGAUCUAAAAUUUGUAGCUAAAUACUCACCAGCAGGUGUCACUACGAUAACAGAUUUUUUUUUUUUCCCUUCUACUUUCUAAGCAAUUUUGUGUAGUGGGUAUAUUACAUUCGUGGACAAAGAUGUGUAAUUUAGCAAAACAUGCACAGUGUUCCCAGAUGGUUUUGAUAAUUGUAUUUUUUCUUACCUUUCUUCAUGUCUCAAAUAUACAGAUUCCUUUAUUAUAUAGUUGAAGUGAUGGGUUUAUUGGGAAUAAAAACAGUUUAAAAACACAGUUUUGGGAUUUUAUAUGGAUAUACAGAAUAGUACACAAAUCACGAGGUUACCGUUUGUGUAACCAACAGUAUCACUAGUAUUCCCCGGCACUUUGUACCCCUAGGAGAUAUUAGGGCUGAAGGGUGCCUCAAACUUAUUUUUUGCCUUUAUUUUGUCAAAAACGCAACCAGAGGGCUGGGGAUGUGGGUCAAGCGGUAGCGCGCUCGCCUGGCAUGCGUGCGGCCCGGGUUCGAUCCUCAGCACCACAUACAAACAAAGAUGUUGUGUCCGCCAAAAACUGAAAAAUAAAUAUUAAAAAUUUUAAAAAAACGCAACCAGAGAUACUCCUGGCAAAUCCAAAUCAGAAAAUAUUUCCAAUGUUUUUAUAUAGAAUCUGAAAACCUCCUUGUUCCUUUCUUGAAAAUUAAGAUGGAGUCAAAAUUUUUAAAUCAGCAUUUAGAGACACAAAAAUAUAGCAACCAGUGGAAAAUAGCAAUAGAAAUUCAAAGCUAGUAUUUGGGUAAUUUUUCCCACCUAGUGUGGAAGCAAAAAGUAGAAUUGCAUUUUUUUAUCGGAGCCCUGUGCAGGGUCGGUGUUCUAAAAGAAAUCCAGGCAGUAUAGCCCUGUAUCCUGAAGGACUUUACAAUCCAAUUGUGCACAUACAAUAAUAAAAUUGACAACCAAGACCAAAAAAGAUCUGAAUAUUACAUUGAAGAUCAUUCUAUACCAAGCAUAACAGUACAUGAUUAAAAUAAGUAAAUUCCAGUGGGAGCCAUUUCUGUGACUCAUGAUUAGGAAAUCAUUUGUAAUAAAGACAAAUAAUUCAUUAGGAUUUGGGUAAUGGGAAGCUGGCAGAGUAUUUCCGAUUGGUUUAGUUUAGUGAGCACUUAGGGAUCACCAGUAUUCCCCAGCACUUUGUACUCUUAGGAGAUAUUAGGGCUGAAGGGUGCCUCAAACUUAUUUUCUGCCCUUAUUUUGUCAAAAAUGCAACCAGAGAUACUCCUGGAAAAUCCAUACAGUAACUCAUAGACUUCUUGAUAUCCAAACAGUGGUAGAAAAGACCAGAAAUUGUAAAGCACCCUGGGUUGGGAAUCAGAGCCUUGCAUUUUAGCCAUGUUUACAUCACUAAAUUUAUACAGGGACUUCAAAAACAUCACUUGGAUGGUUCUCACAUUGUCCCCAACUUCUAUAAUUU